UACAGAGGUCUCAAGCGUUGUUCGGAUUCAUUGGGCGUAAAGGGUGCGUAGGCGGCGCGGUAAGUCGGGUGUGAAAUCUCGGAGCUUAACUCCGAAUUGCAUUCGAUACUGGCGUGCUUGAGGACUGGAGAGGAGACUGGAAUUCGACGGUGUAGCAGUGAAAUGCGUAGAUAUCGAGAGGAACACCUGCGGCGAAGGCGGGUUGCUGGGCCGACACUGACGCUGAUGCGGCGAAGCCAGGGAGC
rnacentral:rRNA from 1 species